rnacentral:rRNA from 1 species
UUGAACGCUGGCGGCAUGCUUUACACAUGCAAGUCGAACGGCAGCGGGGGCUUCGGCCUGCCGGCGAGUGGCGAACGGGUGAGUAAUGCAUCGGAACGUACCCAGUCGUGGGGGAUAACUACGCGAAAGCGUGGCUAAUACCGCAUACGCCCUGAGGGGGAAAGCGGGGGACCUUCGGGCCUCGCGCGAUUGGAGCGGCUGAUGUCGGAUUAGCUGGUUGGUGGGGUAAAGGCCUACCAAGGCGACGAUCCGUAGCUGGUCUGAGAGGAUGAUCAGCCACUCUGGGACUGAGACACGGCCCAGACUCCUACGGGAGGCAGCAGUGGGGAAUUUUGGACAAUGGGCGCAAGCCUGAUCCAGCCAUGCCGCGUGAGUGAAGAAGGCCUUCGGGUUGUAAAGCUCUUUCGGCCGGGACGAAAUCGCUCUCGCCAAUACCGGGAGUGGAUGACGGUACCGGAAUAAGAAGCACCGGCUAACUACGU